rnacentral:lncRNA from 1 species
CCAGGAAUAAAUAGAACCAAAAGUCUUAAAUAAAGGAAUAAAAAUUAUAUAUUAAUAUUGAAUAAUAUCCGAGAUGAAUUAGAUGUCUCAGAAGAUGUGGUAAUAAUUUGUGAAGUUGAAAAUCGACAAUGUCUGCUAUAGUAGACAUUGGAUCAAGUGUUACUUUGAUUUCCAGAACUUGGUUGAGACUUGAAACUAUGCCUAUAAAAUUCCAUGAUACACCUGCAUGUUUGCAGAGAUAGCAGGACAUCUGAUUAAGUGUAGCGGCAUUCAUAAUUUAGUAUUAAGAAUAGGUUUGCAUAAAUUAAAUCAUCCAUGUUAUGUAAUAGAUCUGGCAAUCACAAAUUCAUACAAAGGAAUUCUCUGUCGUGACAUAACAUCUGGCAAUCACAAAUUCAUACAAAGGAAUUCUCGUCUGCUGAAAAGAGAAUAAAGUUUCCUGAGGAUAACAAAGUAACCUUUCAAAAUCAAUUAACUGGUUUUCAGUCUAUAUCUAGCAUGUCAUCACUUCAAAAAGUAUCAGAUCAAUUAAAUCAUAAGACAAAACCAUCUAAUUAUAGAAAAUAUGAAACUCUUUUAAGUUCAUUUUUACUUGCUUUUAUGAAUAUGUAAUCACAUUAAGCAGUAUCAUAAAUACAUCAAAGAUUUAGAAAUGUUUUCGAUAUCAUAGAUGAUAUCCUCAGCUUUCAUUUAUAAAAC